rnacentral:rRNA from 1 species
UACGGAGGGGGCUAGCGUUAUUCGGAAUUACUGGGCGUAAAGCGCACGUAGGCGGCUUUGUAAGUUAGAGGUGAAAGCCCAGAGCUCAACUCUGGAAUUGCCUUUAAGACUGCAUCGCUUGAAUCAUGGAGAGGUGAGUGGAAUUCCGAGUGUAGAGGUGAAAUUCGUAGAUAUUCGGAAGAACACCAGUGGCGAAGGCGGCUCACUGGACAUGUAUUGACGCUGAGGUGCGAAAGCGUGGGGAGCAAACAGG